GAUGAACGCUGGCGGCAUGCCUAACACAUGCAAGUCGAUCGGUAAGGCUCUUCGGAGUACACGAGAGGCGGACGGCUGAGUAACGCGUAGGAACACACCCUGCAGUGAGGGAUAAGACACCGAAAGGUGUUCUAAUACCGCAUACGGUCUUCGGAUUAAAGCAUUUAUGCGCUGAAGGAGUGGCCUGCGUCAUAUUAGAUAGUUGGUGAGGUAAUGGCUCACCAAGUCGAUGAUGUGUAGCUGGUCUGAGGGGAUGAUCAGCCAGACUGGAACUGAGACACGGUCCAGACUCCUACGGGAGGCAGCAGUGAGGAAUAUUUCACAAUGAGCGAAAGCUUGAUGGAGCAAUGCCGCGUGCAGGAUAAAGGCCCUCGGGUUGUAAACUGCUUUUAUAAGAGAAGAUUAUGACGGUAACUUAUGAAUAAGGGACGGCUAACUACGUG
rnacentral:rRNA from 1 species